rnacentral:rRNA from 1 species
UACAGAGGGUGCAAGCGUUAAUCGGAAUUACUGGGCGUAAAGCGUGCGUAGACGGUUAUUUAAGUUCAGGUGUGAAAGCCCCGGGCUCAACCUGGGAAUUGCAUUUGAGACUGAAUAGCUAGGGUGCGGAAGAGGGAAGCGGAAUUUCCGGGUGUAGCGGUGAAAUGCGUAGAUAUCGGAAGGAACACCAGUGGCGAAAGCGGCUUCCUGGUCCAGCACCGACGUCAGGCACGAAAGCGUGGGGAGCAAACAGG